rnacentral:misc_RNA from 1 species
UCUCCGUAGGUGAACCUGCGGAGGGAUCAUUACAGAGUUCAUGCCCUACCGGCUAGAUCUCCCACCCUAUGUUAUUAUUACUUUGUUGCUUUGGCGGGCCGUUAGGCUCCGGCCCGACUACCGGCCCCGGCUGGUAAGCGCCCGCCAGAGGACCCAAAACCCUGAAUAUUAGUGUCGUCUGAGUACUAUAUAAUAGUUAAAACUUUCAACAACGGAUCUCUUGGUUCUG